rnacentral:rRNA from 1 species
AUUGAACGCUGGCGGCAUGCUUUACACAUGCAAGUCGGACGGCAGCACAGAGAGCUUGCUUCUUGGGUGGCGAGUGGCGAACGGGUGAGUAACAUAUCGGAACGUACCGGGCAGUGGGGGAUAACUAAUCGAAAGAUUAGCUAAUACCGCAUAUUCUCUGAGGAGGAAAGCAGGGGACCUUCGGGCCUUGCGUUAUUCGAGCGGCCGAUAUCUGAUUAGCUAGUUGGUGGGGUAAAGGCCUACCAAGGCGACGAUCAGUAGCGGGUCUGAGAGGAUGAUCCGCCACACUGGGACUGAGACACGGCCCAGACUCCUACGGGAGGCAGCAGUGGGGAAUUUUGGACAAUGGGCGCAAGCCUGAUCCAGCCAUGCCGCGUGUCUGAAGAAGGCCUUUCGGGUUGUAAAGGACUUUUGUCCAGGGAAGAAAAGGCUGUUGCUAAUAUCGACAGCUGAUGACGGUACCUGAAGAAUAAGCACCGCUAACUAACC